ensembl:lncRNA
AUGGCAUCACUGUGCCAUCUUACACCCAUAACAAAAUCGUUCACCUAUGAGAUUCGGUUCCCGACUUUCAUCAUAAUGUUGCAUGCGUCAACCAAUGGCUGUGUGCAUGUCAUCGACUGGAAGAUUGCUGCAGAAUGGAGUCUACAGUGUGCAUGUCAUCGACUGGAAGAUUGCUGCAGAGUGGAGUCUACAGUGUGCAUGUCAUCGACUGGAAGAUUGCUGCAGAGUGGAGUCUACAAUGUGCAUGUCAUCGACUGGAAGAUUGCUGCAGAGUGGAGUCUACAGUGUGCAUGUCAUCGACUGGGAGAUUGCUGCAGAGUGGAGUCUACAGUGUGCAGAAGCGACAUCACCAUCCAUUUUCUAGAUUCAGGUUCAUUUUUAAACAUCGGACCCUGUUUUUGCCUAUAAAAUGACAUACCCAAAUGUAACUGCCUGUAGCUUAGGACUUGAAGCUGAAGGAUAUUCAUGUUUUAUUUUAUUUAACUAGGUGAGUUAAGAACAGGCCUAAGACGGUUUUAUGAAUAAGCAUCAACCAGUGGGUCUUGCGACUGGUAUACAGAGAUGAUCAGUUUACAGAGGAGUAUAUAGUGCAGUAAUGUGUCCUAUAAGCAGCAGCAUUGGUGGCAAAUGUGAUGGCCGAAUGGUAAAGAACAUCUACGAGAUGAGUGCACUUAUUUCUCAGUCGCCUGAACGAGAGCCAGUCGGCUUGAGUAUGCGUGUGUGCCGAGCCUGUCGCCAAAUCCAUUUCUUGAGGUGGAGCAACUCUGCAAGAGUUACUGUUUUUAAUUCUCAUUUUCUGAAUGGGGAUGUGUUAACAAUACCACUGAAAAUAUUUUUUAAAAGAAGGUCCCAAGUGUCUUCGACAGAGGGAAUCAAGCUGAUGCUAUACCAUUUUACAGAGGCCAGUUCAUGAAGGAAGGUUUGCUCAUUAAGACGUUUUUUUAGCAAGCAUCUAUGACAAAUCAGGACAGGGCCGUUUCACUGAGCAGCCAUUACAAACACAGGUGGCGUUUUAAGCAUGUCCCAGUUUAGGUCACCUAGCAGGACAAAUUCAGACUUAGUGUAAGGGGCCAAGAGAGAUCUUAGGGCAGGUAGGGUACAGGUCGAUGCCGAUGGAGGACAACAACAUCCAGCCACAGUCAACAAAGAGCUAUUUGAAAGUUUAAUGCUUAAAAACCAGCAAAUCAGAUCGUUUGGGGACAGACUUGAUGGAGACAACCGAGCACUCCCCCCACCUUUGGAAGAUCUGUCUUGCCAAAAAAAGUGAUAAUCAGAAAGGUUAACAUCAGUAUUCAAAACACUCUUCCUUAACCAAAUCUCAGUAAUGACCAACACAUCUGGUUUAGAGCUGUGAACCCACACUUUCAAUUUAUCCAUUGUAGGUAACAGGCUUCUAGUGUUAACGUGCAGAUAACCCGGGCUUUUACGAGAGCAGAAAUCAGUGAAGCAGAUAUCAGAGCCCAAUUGUGGCUAGCAACAGUAGAGGGGCCAGGCUGUACAUGCACAUUUCCAGAUAUCAUCAACAGUAAUACAAUCAAGGCACGGCAGAGGACAGGGAGAGCUCUGCAGUGCUGAUUUAUGACAUCUGAAUGCGCAUCAGAUGGCAACAAGAUCAUAUUGUACAGCAAUUUCAUCAGGUAACAUGAAUACCGAAAGAGGUGGUUAGAAUAGGAUGGGAGGCCAAAAGUCUGUGUAACCAAUAGAGAGUCAGAGUUUUAUUUUUAAUUUUUAUUUUAUCUUUAUUUAACUAGGCAAGUCAGUUAAGAACAAAUUCUUAUUUUCAAUGACGGCCUAGGAACAGUGGGUUAACUGUCUUGUUCAGGGGCAGAACGACAGAUUUGUACCUUGUCAGAUUUGAACUUGCAACCUUCCGGUUACUAGUCCAACGCUCUAACCACUAGGCUACCCUGCCGCCCCAGUCCUGAGUGUGGGAAGAAACAGCCUGUCCCACAGUUGGGUAAAGAAAGUUUGUAGUCAAAGUAUGCAGAAGUCAUGAGGCAAAUAGCUAAAUUAAAUAUAUAACGACUUGGGGCUAGCUAUUGUAAGUUCAGAGACAAAGAAAGUUGAAAAAGAUUUAUUGUUUUGUUGAAUCGUCAUGACUGGUUCGAGCCAUCUGUAGUUUUUUUUGCUACUUAACACAGACCUAAGAUCAGUUUAAAGAUCCACCGACGUCAUUGACGUAGGGGUUUAGCUGGACGUUUCUGACUGGUCUUGGAACUGUGACAACGGGCAGCCUCUCCCUACUUGGCACGAUGGGAUAUGUAGUGAUUUUGCAACACAGCCACCAGAUAUGUACAGUCUUGGACCCGUAACCUUUUUUAAUUUAAUAAAACAAAUGAUCGUAUUUGUUGAUUGAAUCAGACUUCAUUAAUAUAAUGAGUCAUCCAGGAAUGUCACAAGUUCAUUGAGAAAAUAGCAGCUCUACAGAGCGCGGCUAAACUACUUCAGGACACAGUCUACAGAGCUCCUCCUCCUCACCAGGCUAUAACAAUGUGGUUGG